UACGGAGGGGGCAAGCGUUGUUCGGAGUCACUGGGCGUAAAGGGCGCGUAGGCGGUGCAUCAAGUCAGGCGUGAAAGCCCCGGGCUUAACCUGGGAAUUGCGCUUGAUACUGAUGCGCUAGAGAGCGGGAGAGGAUGGCGGAAUUCCCAGUGUAGAGGUGAAAUUCGUAGAUAUUAGGAAGAACACCAGUGGCGAAGGCGGCUCACUGGCCCGGUACUGACGCUGAGGCGCGAAAGCGUGGGGAGCAAACAGG
rnacentral:rRNA from 1 species